GUAGGUGGCAAGCGUUGUCCGGAAUUAUUGGGCGUAAAGCGCGCGCAGGCGGUUCUUUAAGUCUGAUGUGAAAGCCCACGGCUCUACCGUGGAGGGUCAUUGGAAACUGGAGAACUUGAGUACAGAAGAGGAAAGCGGAAUUCCACGUGUAGCGGUGAAAUGCGUAGAGAUGUGGAGGAACACCAGUAGCGAAGGCGGCUUUCUGGUCUGUAACUGACGCUGAGGCGCGAAAGCGUGGGGAGCAAACAGGGAUUAGAUACCCUGGUAGUCCACGCCGUAAACGAUGAGUGCUAAGUGUUAGGGGGUUUUCCGCCCCCUUAGUGCUGCAGCUAACGCAUUAAGCACUCCGCCUGGGGAGUACGGCCGCAAGGCUG
rnacentral:rRNA from 1 species